rnacentral:rRNA from 1 species
CCUACGGGAGGCAGCAGUGGGGAAUAUUGCACAAUGGGGGAAACCCUGAUGCAGCGACGCCGCGUGAGUGAGGAAGUAUUUCGGUAUGUAAAGCUCUAUCAGCAGGGAAGAAAAUGACGGUACCUGAUUAAGAAGCCCCGGCUAACUACGUGCCAGCAGCGGCGGUAAUACGUAGGGAGCAAGCGUUAUCCGGAUUUACUGGGUGUAAAGGGAGCGUAGACGGCAGCGCAAGUCUGAAGUGAAAUGCCGGGGCUUAACCCCGGAACUGCUUUUGAAACUGUGCAGCUAGAGUGGAGGAGAGGUAAGUGGAAUGCCUAGUGUAGCGGUGAAAUGCGUAGAUAUUAGGAGGAACACCAGUGGCGAAGGCGGCUUACUGGACUGUAACUGACGUUGAGGCUCGAAAGCGUGGGGAGCGAACAGGAUUAGAUACCCUUGUAGUC